GGAGACGUGACCGAGAGGCCGAAGGUACCUCACUGCUAACGAGGCAGGGGAUAAAACCCCUCGAGGGUUCGAAUCCCUCCGUCUCCG
rnacentral:tRNA from 1 species